UACGUAGGGUGCAAGCGUUGUCCGGAAUUAUUGGGCGUAAAGAGCUCGUAGGCGGUCUGUCGCGUCUGCUGUGAAAACCUAGGGCCUUAACUCUGGGCGUGCAGUGGGUACGGGCAGGCUAGAGUGCGGUAGGGGAGACUGGAAUUCCUGGUGUAGCGGUGAAAUGCGCAGAUAUCAGGAGGAACACCGAUGGCGAAGGCAGGUCUCUGGGCAUUAACUGACGCUGAGGAGCGAAAGCAUGGGGAGCGAACAGG
rnacentral:rRNA from 1 species